CCGGAUUUAUUGGGUUUAAAGGGUGCGUAGGCGGAUUGAUAAGUCAGCGGUGAAACUCACAGGCUCAACCUGUGCCGUGCCGUUGAAACUGUUAAUCUUGAAUGCGGAUGCUGUGGGAGGAAUGUGUAGUGUAGCGGUGAAAUGCAUAGAUAUUACACAGAACACCGAUUGCGAAGGCAUCUCACAAAGCCGUGAUUGACGCUGAGGCACGAAAGUGUGGGGAUCAAACAGGAUUAGAUACCCUGGUAGUCCACUACUGUAAACGAUGAUAACUCGCUGCCGGCGAUAUAAAGUCGGUGGCCCAGCGAAAGCGAUAAGUUAUCCACCUGGGGAGUACGACCGCAAGGUUGAAACUCAAAGGAAUUGACGGGGGCCCGCACAAGCGGAGGAACAUGUGGUUUAAUUCGAUGAUACGCGAGGAACCUUA
rnacentral:rRNA from 1 species